UUUCCGUAGGUGAACCUGCCGAAGGAUCAUUAUUGGAUUUUGAAACUUCAGGCUGCUGCUGGCUCUCCUCGGAGGGCAUGUGCACGCUUGUUGUCCAUUAUUUCUCCCACUGUGCACAAAUUGUAGACCUUUCAGUAGGCCUAUGUUGUUUUUCACAAUCUCUGAAUGUAAUAGAAUGGUUUUGAAUCUUGGGAAAUACAAUACAACUUUCAGCAACGGAUCUCUUGGCUCUCGCAUCGAUGGAGAACGCAGC
rnacentral:misc_RNA from 1 species